rnacentral:rRNA from 1 species
CGAGCACGCGCGUGUGGCAUAUCAAUAAGCGGAGGAAAAGAAACUAACAAGGAUUCCCCUAGUAACGGCGAGUGAAGCGGGAAGAGCUCAAAUUUGAAAUCUUCAAGGUUUUACCUUGACGAAUUGUAGUUUAAAGAGGUGUUUUCUGUUAGUGGAGUGGCAAAAGUUCUUUGGAAUAGGACAUCAUAGAGGGUGAGAAUCCCGUAUUUAGUCAUUCCUCCUAGCGUUGUGAUACACUUUCAACGAGACGGAUUGUUUGGGAAUGCAGUCCAAAAUGGGUGGUAAAUUUCAUCUAAAGCUAAAUAUUGGCGAGAGACCGAUAGCGAACAAGUACCGUGAGGGAAAGAUGAAGAGAACUUUGAAAAGAGAGUUAAACAGUACGUGAAAUUGUCAAAAGGGAAGCGUUUGACACCAGUGUUGUUUUUCCGAAAAUCAAUUACGAAUGUUUUGUUUUUGAGGAGUUAUGACUUCAUCGGCUUGCUUCUUUCUUUACGAAACUUUCUUAAUGCACUUUUCGGUUAACAAGUCAACAUCAAUUUCUUUUGUUGUAAAAGGGUAUGAGGAAGGUGGCUUUCUUUUCGGAGAAAGUGUUUAUAGCCUUGUGCCUCUACAAUCGGAGAGAUUGAGGUCUGCAGCGUAGAUCCUUCGGGGUUAGAUACGUUUGUGCUAAGUUAUAGCUUUUCAUAGACAACUUGUUGACUAUGUUUAGUCUUGUAGCUUACUCGCUGACGCUAUUUUACCUACGCUUAGGAUGUUGAACUCUAUCACACACAG